AUUGAACGCUGGCGGCAGGCUUAACACAUGCAAGUCGAACGAGCGGCGGACGGGUGAGUAAUGUCUGGGAAACUGCCUGAUGGAGGGGGAUAACUACUGGAAACGGUAGCUAAUACCGCAUACCAUCAGAUGUGCCCAGAUGGGAUUAGCUUGUUGGUGGGGUAAGGGCUCACCAAGGCGACGAUCCCUAGCUGGUCUGAGAGGAUGACCAGCCACACUGGAACUGAGAAACGGUCCAGACUCCUACGGGAGGCAGCAGUGGGGAAUAUGGCACAAUGGGCGCAAGCCUGAGGCAGCCAUGCCGCGUGUGUGAAGAAGGCCUUCGGGUUGUAAAGUACGUUCAGCGAGGAGGCGUUACCCGCAGAAGAAGCACCGGCUAACUCCGUGCCAGCAGCCGCGGUAAUAC
rnacentral:rRNA from 1 species